rnacentral:rRNA from 1 species
AGAGUUUGAUCCUGGCUCAGGAUGAACGCUAGCGGCAGGCUUAACACAUGCAAGUCGAGGGGCAGCGGGUGUAGCAAUACAUGCCGGCGACCGGCGCAAGGGUGCGUAACGCGUGAGCAAUCUGCCCGUAUCAGGGGGAUAAGCGAUGGAAACGUCGUCUAAUACCGCAUAACACCAAUGAUGGCAUCAUCGAUGGUUGAAAGCUUCGGUGGAUACGGAUGAGCUCGCGAGACAUUAGUUAGUUGGCGGGGUACGGCCCACCAAGACCGCGAUGUCUAGGGGAACUGAGAGGUUGGUCCCCCACACUGGAACUGAGACACGGUCCAGACUCCUACGGGAGGCAGCAGUGAGGAAUAUUGGACAAUGGCCGGAAGGCUGAUCCAGCCAUGCCGCGUGAAGGAAUAAGGUCCUAUGGAUUGUAAACUUCUUUUGUACGAGAGCAAUAAGUGUCACGAGUGACACGAUGAGAGUAUCGUACGAAUAAGCAUCGGCUAACUCCGUGCCAGCAGCCGCGGUAAUACGGAGGAUGCGAGCGUUAUCCGGAUUUAUUGGGUUUAAAGGGUGCGUAGGCGGGAUUUUAAGUCAGCGGUGAAACGCAAGGGCUCAACCCUUGACCUGCCGUUGAAACUGGAGUUCUUGAAUGCGGAUGCUGUGGGAGGAAUGUGUGGUGUAGCGGUGAAAUGCAUAGAUAUCACACAGAACUCCGAUUGCGAAGGCAGCCCACAAGGCCUUUACUGACGCUAAAGCUCGAAGGUGCGGGUAUCGAACAGGAUUAGAUACCCUGGUAGUCCGCACGGUAAACGAUGGAUGCCCGCUGUUUGCCAUAUACUGUGAGC